GGUCCCAUAGUUAAAUGGAUAUAACAGCCCUUUCCUAAAGGGCCGUUCCAAGUUCGAUUCUUGGUGGGACCACCA
rnacentral:tRNA from 1 species